UACGUAGGGGGCAAGCGUUGUCCGGAUUUAUUGGGCGUAAAGAGCGUGUAGGCGGCCAGGUAGGUCCGUUGUGAAAACUCGAGGCUCAACCUCGAGACGUCGGCGGAAACCCUCUGGCUAGAGUCCGGAAGAGGAGAGUGGAAUUCCUGGUGUAGCGGUGAAAUGCGCAGAUAUCAGGAAGAACACCCGUGGCUAAGGCGGCUCUCUAGUACGGUACUGACGCUGAGACGCGAAAGCGUGGGGAGCGAACAGG
rnacentral:rRNA from 1 species